rnacentral:tRNA from 1 species
GUCAGGGUGGCGGAACUGGUAGACGCGCUAGAUUCAGGAUCUAGUGGGCAUAACGCUCAUAGGGGUUCAAUUCCCCUCCUUGACA